CCUACCGGAGGCAGCAGUGAGGAAUAUUGGUCAAUGGGCGGAAGCCUGAACCAGCCAAGUCGCGUGAGGGAAUAAGGCCCUACGGGUCGUAAACCUCUUUUGCCGGGGAGCAAGGGCGGGGACGUGUACCGGCCCGGAGAGUACCCGGAGAAAAAGCAUCGGCUAACUCCGUGCCAGCAGACGCGGUAAUACGGAGGAUGCGAGCGUUAUCCGGAUUUAUUGGGGUUAAGGGGUGCGUAGGCGGGCUUUUAAGUCAGCGGUAAAAGUUCGGGGCUAAAUCCCGUCCGGCCGUUGAAACUGGGAGCCUUGAGUGGGCGAGAAGAAGGCGGAAUGCGUGGUGUAGCGGUGAAAUGCAUAGAUAUCACGCAGAACCCCGAUUGCGAAGGCAGCCUUCCGGCGCCCUACUGACGCUGAGGCACGAAAGUGCGGGGAUCGAACAGGAGUAGAUACCCUUGUAGUC
rnacentral:rRNA from 1 species